rnacentral:rRNA from 1 species
CCUACGGGUGGCUGCAGUGGGGAAUAUUGGACAAUUGGGGCAACCCUGAUCCAGCCAUGCCGCGUGUGUGAAGAAGGCCCUCGGGUUGUAAAGCACUUUCAGUGAGGAAGAACGCCUGGUGGUUAAUACCCAUCAGGAAAGACAUCACUCACAGAAGAAGCACCGGCUAACUCCGUGCCAGCAGCCGCGGUAAUACGGAGGGUGCGAGCGUUAAUCGGAAUUACUGGGCGUAAAGCGCGCGUAGGUGGCUUGAUAAGCCGGUUGUGAAAGCCCAGGGCUCAACCUGGGAACGGCAUCCGGAACUGUCAAGCUAGAGUGCAGGAGAGGAAGGUAGAAUUCCCGGUGUAGCGGUGAAAUGCGUAGAGAUCGGGAGGAAUACCAGUGGCGAAGGCGGCCUUCUGGACUGACACUGACACUGAGGUGCGAAAGCGUGGGUAGCAAACAGGAUUAGAUACCCUUGUAGUC